GAUGAACGCUGGCGGCGUGCCUAAUACAUGCAAGUCGAGCGAACAGACGAGGAGCUUGCUCCUCUGACGUUAGCGGCGGACGGGUGAGUAACACGUGGAUAACCUACCUAUAAGACUGGGAUAACUUCGGGAAACCGGAGCUAAUACCGGAUAAUCUAUUGAACCGCAUGGUUCGAUGGUAAAAGACGGUUUUUGUGGCACUUAUAGAUGGAUCCGCGCCGGAUUAGCUAGUUGGUAAGGUAAAGGCUUACCAAGGCGACGAUGCGUAGCCGACCUGAGAGAGUGAUCGGCCACACUGGAACUGAGACACGGUCCAGACUCCUACGGGAGGCAGCAGUAGGGAAUCUUCCGCAAUGGGGGAAAGCCUGACGGAGCAACGCCGAGUGAGUGAUGAAGGUGUUCGGAUCGUAAAACUCUGUUAUUAGGGAAGAACAAAUGUGUAAGUAACUAUGCACGUCUUGACGGUACCUAAUCAGAAAGCCACGGCUAACUACGUG
rnacentral:rRNA from 1 species